rnacentral:tRNA from 1 species
GCGGCUGUAGCUCAAUUGGUAGAGCACCAGCUUGCCAUGCUGGUUGUUGUCGGUUCGAGUCCGAUCAGCCGCUCCA